GAUGGAGAAACAUUGUCUGCAGCAUUUGACAGGGAAGAGGAAAGGCCUAUUGAGGAUGAAAUCGAAUUCAAUGAGAGGCCAUCCACUUCUAGCUCUACUUCACAGCUUACCUCUGUAAGAUUCUCCCUGGAAUUAUAAUGAAACGCUGUACUUGGCACUGUGAAAUCCAAUGUCAUCUUUUGCAUUCCUAUAGCUUCCAGUCAAAGAGCUCUAUAAAAUCUAUCUGGUAAAACAAAUAAACAAAGCAGACUUGGAAAUGGACCACAUUAGGCAAAAGAUGCAAAAGGAUGCUUUGGAGAUCCAAAUUUUGGAACAUAAGUUAAAGGUGGGUGAGGUACAAACUGGGAUACUGUUUCCUGCUCCAAAAACAUACCCAAUAUGAAUGACCUUUUUUUUUUUUUUGGGCUUUCAGGAAAUAAAGAAAUCCUCAUAAAAA